rnacentral:rRNA from 1 species
UAGGGAAUAUUGGGCAAUGGGCGAGAGCCUGACCCAGCCAUGCCGCGUGCAGGAAGAAGGCUUUCUGAGUCGUAAACUGCUUUUGACAGGGAAGAAUAAGCUGUCCGUGUACAGUGAUGACGGUACCUGCAGAAUAAGCACCGGCUAACUCCGUG